rnacentral:lncRNA from 1 species
AAUCCUGAUGUCUCAUGAUUGCCUUCUCUGUUCCCAGUGCUGCCUGUCUCGGAAAAAAAAAGUAUCCUGAGAGAGGAAAGAAUUUUUGUUACACAACUAAAAGUUUAAGUUCAGCUCUGGCUUCUCUGGACUCAGCUUCUGAGGAUGAUUGGCAGUUCUAAAACCAUGGGCCGGGUAAGUGGGUUUCUCUCCUUCCUGAAAUAUUACAAUUUUUAAUUCAGAUAAUAUUUUCAUUCUUUAUCCCAAAACCUCCUUCCUAGGAAAGCUGUAUCUCAGCCUGUUUCACAGU